UCAUUAUUCAUAACGACUCUCGGCAACGGAUAUCUCGGCUCUCGCAUCGAUGAAGAACGUAGCGAAAUGCGAUACUUGGUGUGAAUUGCAGAAUCCCGUGAACCAUCGAGUCUUUGAACGCAAGUUGCGCCCGAAGCCCUUAGGCCGAGGGCACGCCUGCCUGGGUGUCACG
rnacentral:rRNA from 1 species